CCUCGCGACCGCUACCCGGUCUGUUCUCUGUCCACGCCGUCCGUCGCGCCGCCCGCCCUGCGCCCGCUGUCACCAUGGGAGUGCAGGUGGAGACCAUCUCUCCAGGAGACGGGCGCACAUUCCCGAAGCGUGGCCAGACCUGCGUGGUGCACUACACCGGGAUGCUUGAAGAUGGCAAGAAGUUUGAUUCCUCCCGUGACAGAAACAAGCCCUUCAAGUUUAUGCUCGGCAAGCAGGAGGUGAUCCGAGGCUGGGAAGAAGGGGUAGCCCACAUGAGUGUGGGUCAGAGAGCCAAACUGAUUAUCUCCCCAGACUAUGCCUAUGGUUCCACUGGGCACCCAGGAAUCAUCCCGCCACAUGCCACUCUUGUCUUCGACGUGGAGCUUCUAAAACUGGAAUGACAGGAGUGGCCUCCUCCCUUAGCUCCCCGUUCUUGGAUCUGC